rnacentral:rRNA from 1 species
UACAGAGGGUGCAAGCGUUAAUCGGAAUUACUGGGCGUAAAGCGUGUGUAGGCGGCCACGUAAGUCGGAUGUGAAAGCCCCAGGCUCAACCUGGGAAGUGCACUCGAUACUGCGUGGCUUGAGUAUCGGAGAGGUUGGUGGAAUUCUCGGUGUAGAGGUGAAAUUCGUAGAUAUCGAGAGGAACACCAGUGGCGCAAGCGGCUAUCUGGACCGACAUUGACGCUGAGGCACGAAAGCGUGGGGAUCAAACAGG